CUUCCGACCAGUGCAACAGAUUGGUAUGAAUUUUAAAUUAACUGCAAUAGGUUAAGAGCAACACUUACAAUCAAGUCACAGUAGUACAUUUCGUGCUCAGCUGCUAACUAAUAAAUUAAAAGAGGGACGAAAGAUACCAGAGGGACAGUAAAAGAUAUAUGUUAAUGUAUACACUGAGAAAAAUGUAGGCAUCAAGAAGGCA
rnacentral:lncRNA from 1 species